CCUACGGGAGGCAGCAGUGAGGAAUAUUGGACAAUGAACGCAAGUCUGAACCAGCCAUGCCGCGUGCAGGAAGACGGCUCUAUGAGUUGUAAACGGCUUUUGUACGAGGGUAAACGCAGAUACGCGUAUCUGUCUGAACGUAUCGUACGAAUAAGGAUCGGCUAACUCCGUCCCAGCAGCCGCGGUAAGACGGAGGAUUCAAGCGUUGUCCGGUUUGAUUGGGUUUAAAGGGUGCGUAGGCGGUCGGAUAAGUUAGAGAUGAAAUCCCGAGGCUUAACUUCGGAAUUGCCUCUGAUACUGUUCGGCUAGAGAGUAGUUGCGGUAGGCGGAAUGUAAGGUGUAGCGGUGAAAUGCUUAGAGAUCAUAAAGAACACCGAUUGCGAAGGCAGCUUACCAAGCUACUUCUGACGUUGAGGCACGAAAGCGUGGGGAGCAAACAGGAUUAGAUACCCGGGUAGUC
rnacentral:rRNA from 1 species